AGCAGCCGCGGUAAUUCCAGCUCCAAUAGCGUAUAUUAAAGUUGUUGCAGUUAAAAAGCUCGUAGUUGAAAUUCGAAAUUUGUCCUAUGGUCGGGCUUUACGGUCCGUACAGUAGUGGCGAAUUUCUACCUUCUGAAGAACCUUCAUGUCAUUAAUUUGGUGUGUUGGGAAAUCAGGACUGUUACUUUGAAAAAUUAGAGUGUUUAAAGCAGGCUUAAGUCUGAAUACAUUAGCAUGGAAUAAUGAAAUAGGACGGAUUGGUUCUAUUUUGUUGGUUUCUAGGAUCACCGUAAUGAUUAAUAGGGAUAGUUGGGGGCAUUAGUAUUCAAUUGUCAGAGGUGAAAUUCUUGGAUUUAUUGAAGACUAACUUCUGCGAAAGCAUUUGCCAAGGAUGUUUUCAUUAAUCAAGAACGAAAGUUAGGGGAUCGAAGACGAUCAGAUACCGUCGUA
rnacentral:rRNA from 1 species